rnacentral:rRNA from 1 species
UACGUAGGGGCCAAGCGUUGUCCGGAUUUAUUGGGCGUAAAGAGCGUGUAGGCGGCCAAGCAGGUCCGUUGUGAAAACUGGAGGCUUAACCUCCAGACGUCGACGGAAACCGCGUGGCUAGAGUCCGGAAGAGGAGAGUGGAAUUCCUGGUGUAGCGGUGAAAUGCGCAGAUAUCAGGAAGAACACCAAUGGCGAAGGCAGCUCUCUGGGACGGUACUGACGCUGAGACGCGAAAGCGUGGGGAGCAAACAGG